GACGAACGCUGGCGGCGUGCUUAACACAUGCAAGUCGAACGGAAAGGCCCUGCUUUUGUGGGGUGCUCGAGUGGCGAACGGGUGAGUAACACGUGAGUAACCUGCCCUUGACUUUGGGAUAACUUCAGGAAACUGGGGCUAAUACCGGAUAGGAGCUCCUGCUGCAUGGUGGGGGUUGGAAAGUUUCGGCGGUUGGGGGUGGACUCGCGGCUUAUCAGCUUGUUGGUGGGGUAGUGGCUUACCAAGGCUUUGACGGGUAGCCGGCCUGAGAGGGUUACCGGCCACAUUGGGACUGAGAUACGGCCCAGACGCCUACGGGAGGCAGCAGUGGGGAAUAUUGCACAAUGGGCGGAAGCCUGAUGCAGCAACGCCGCGUGCGGGAUGACGGCCUUCGGGUUGUAAACCGCUUUCGCAUGUGACGAAGCGUGAGUGACGGUAAUGGGUAAAGAAGCACCGGCUAACUACGUG
rnacentral:rRNA from 1 species